rnacentral:rRNA from 1 species
AUCGAACGCUGGCGGCAGGCCUAAUACAUGCAAGUCGAACGAGUGGCGGAGGGGCGAGUAAUGCAUGGGAACCUAGGUUACGGAGGGGGAUAACUAGGGGAAACCUUAGCAAAUACCGCUUACCACAGGUUGAGCCCAAGCGGGAUUAGGUAGUUGGUGAGGUAAAGGCUCACCAAGCCGACGAUCACUAGCUGGUCUGAGAGGGUGACCGGCCACACUGGGACUGAGACACGGCCCAGACUCCUACGGGAGGCAGCAGUAGGGAAUCUUGGGCAAUGGAGGCAAGCCUGACGCAGCAAUGCCGCGUGAAUGAAGAAGGCCUUCGGGUUGUAAAAUUCUUUCGUUAGCGAGGCGUUAUCUACACAGGAAGCACCGGCUAACUCCGUGCCAGCAGCCGCGGUAAUAC